CUAAGCUACAAAGGGCACAUGAUGGAUGCCUUGGUGCCAGCAGGCGAUGAAGGACGCGACAAGCUGCGAUAAGCUACGGUGAGCGGCACAUACGCGUUGACCCGUAGAUUUCCGAAUGGGAUAACCCAAUGGAGGUAAAGCUCCAUUAUUGUACAUUGAAUACAUAGAUGUGCAAAGCGACACCCGGUGAAGUGAAACAUCUCAGUAACCGGAGGAAAAGAAAGCGAAUGCGAUUCCGUCAGUAGCGGCGAGCGAAAGCGGAUCAGCCCAAACCACUAGCUUGCUAGUGGGGUUGUAGGACCCCGAUAUGGGAGUGUGAAGGUUAGAUGAAGCGAAUGGAAAAUCGCUCCAUAGAAGGUGAAAGACCUGUAAUCGAAAACCCGAUCACCCUUAGGGAGUUCCUGAGUAAUACGAUAUAAGUGGAACUUCGUAUGAAUCCACGCAGACCACUGCGUAAGGCUAAAUACUAGCUGGCGACCGAUAGUGAACAAGUACCGCGAGGGAAAGGUGAAAAGAACCGCUGUGAGCGGAGUGAAAUAGAUCCUGAAAUCAUGUGCCUACAAGGUGUCAGAGCCCUUCGGGGUGAUGGCGUGCCUUUUGCUUAAUGAGUCUGCGAGUUAUUGUCAGUGGCAAGCCUAAGUUCUUAUGGGACGGAGGCGCAGCGAAAGCGAGUCCGAAUAGGGCGUAGAGUUGCUGGCAGUAGACCCGAAGCCGAGGUGAUCUACCCAUGAUCAGGAUGAAGCGUGAGUAACAUCACGUGGAGGUCCGAACCGAUGCACGUUGAAAAGUGCCCGGAUGAAUUGUGGGUAGGAGCGAAAGACUAAUCAAACCCGGUGAUAGCUGGUUCUCCCCGAAAUAGCUUGAGGGCUAGCCUCGUGCGCUGACUUGCGGAGGUAGAGCACUGGAUGAACUAGGGCCCAUACCCGGGUACCGAAUUCAAUCAAACUCCGAAUGCCGCAGGGUGUAGCACGGGAGUCAGUCGGCGAGGGAUAAGCUUCGUCGGCGAGAGGCAAACAUGCCAGACUAGCAGCUAAGGUGCCCAAAUACUGCGCAGUGGAAAGGAGGUGGAGAUACACAGACAAUGAGGAUGUUGGCUUAGAGGCAGCCACCAUUUAAACAGUGCGUAAUAGCUGACUCAUCGAGUGUUUCCGCGCCGAAAAUGAUUGGCGAUUAGCAGUAUACCGAAGCUCUAGAGUUUUGCGCCGUUCGCGGCACAAGACUGGUAGGGGAGCGUUGUAGCGACCUUGAAGCAGGAGCGGAAGCGACUGUGGAGUUUCUACAAGUGAGAAUGCAGACAUGAGUAGCGAUAAGCCGGGUGCGAUCCCCGGCCACCGUAAACCCAAGGUUUCCCGGGCAAGGUUCGUCCUCCCGGGGUUAGUCGGAACCUAAGUCGAGGCCGAAGGGCGUAGGCGAUGGAGAGCAGGUUAAAAUUCCUGCACCGGCUGCAGUUAAGUAACCCUGUGCGUGGGUGGAGAGACAAGCCGGCGAUUGAAAGUGCCGGUGGUCCGAAAGGAGUGACGUGGAGGCUUCGGCCGAAGCGGAUUUGUUGAACCAAACACCGAGAAAAGCAGGGUUAUGUUUAUGCGGCUGACCGUACCGCAAACCGACACAGGUGGGUGGGCGUUAAUGUGCCCAGGUGCGUGAGUGAAACCUCGUUAAGGAACUCGGCAAUCUAGCCCCGUAACUUCGGAAGAAGGGGUGCCCUGAAAAGGGUCGCAGUGAAAGGGGUCAACCGACUGUUUAACAAAAACACAGCACUCUGCGAAGUCGCAAGACGAUGUAUAGGGUGUGACACGUGACCAAUGCGGAAAGAUUACGGUAAGGGGUUAGCGCAAGCGAAGCUCUGAGCCCAAGUCCCCGUGAAUGUCGGCCGUAACUAUAACGGUCCUAAGGUAGCGAAAUUCCUUGUCGGGUAAGUUCCGACCUGCACGAAUCGUGUAACGAGUUGACCGCUGUCUCAACGAGGAGCUCAGCGAAGUUGUAAUGGCGGUGAAGAUGCCGCCUACCCGCAGCAGGACGGAAAGACCCUAUGCACCUUUACUGUACGCUGUUACUGGGUUCUCGGCUUCAAUGCUUAGCGUAAGUGGGAGACUGUGAUCGACGCCUUUCGGGGUGUCAGGAGUCGCCAAUGAAACACCACCCUUUGAAGCUGGGAAUUCUAACCCGAAGCCAUGAUCUGGCUCGGGGACCGUGGCAGCCGGUCAGUUUUACUGGGGCGGUAUCCUCCCAAAGAGUAACGGAGGAGUGCGAAGGUUGGCUCAGCCCGGUUGGUAAUCGGGUGACGAGUACAUGGAUAUAAGCCAGCCUAACUGUGAGACCUACAAGUCGAGCAGAUGCGAAAGCAGGCCCAAGUGAUCCGGUGGUAGAAAGUGGAAUUGCCAUCGCUCAACGGACAAAAGGUACGCUAGGGAUAACAGGCUGAUCGGGCCCAAGAGCUCAUAUCGACGGCCCGGUUUGGCACCUCGAUGUCGGCUCAUCACAUCCUGGGGCUGGAGAAGGUCCCAAGGGUCCGGCUGUUCGCCGGUUAAAGUGGUACGCGAGCUGGGUUCAGAACGUCGCGAGACAGUUCGGUCCUUAUCCGCUGUGGGCGCAGGAGAAGUGAGGGGUUCAAACUUUAGUACGAGAGGACCGAGUUUGACGAACCUCUGGUGUUCCAGUUGUACUGUCAAGUGCAUCGCUGGGUAGCUAUGUUCGGAAGAGAUAAGCGCUGAAAGCAUCUAAGCGCCAAGCUCAUCCCAAGAUUGCUUCUCCCUGAAGGAUCGUGGAAGACCACCACGUUGAUAGGCCACGGGUGCAAGCGUAGUAAUACGUUCAGCUCAGUGGUACUAAUAUUCCGUUCGGCUUAGUU
rnacentral:rRNA from 1 species